ACAUAUAUACGUUCAUACUCUCUAUACCUGCCCAUGUAUAGGCGCAUCUAUACAUGCACAAACGGAUACGUAUAUGUUGAGCCAAAAGAAGGGAUAUUAAUGUAAUUCAAUUGGAAUUUAUUGAUUAACAAUUGAACUUAUUCAUUUAUUUAUGACAGGUCUCAUUGCUGGAAAGAUUAUUUGAUACAUAAAGGUCAAGUAAUAGAAAAAAUAUAUGUCUGUCGUACAGAGUAUUUAAAAUUGGAGUACCUCAAUCCAAAAUUUAAAUAAUUUUUCCGGACAUAUUUUUUUCAUUUUAACCAAAGAAAGAGCCAUGAGUUUUGCUCUGGCAAAAAAAUUACUUCCAAUGUACGUCAAUCAAUGUUGAUAAGCACAAGUUUUCUUUGAUUUUUUAGUUGGCUUAAAGUUCCGAAGGAGAAAAAACUGCAGCUACACCGAAACCAAAGCCUUGUUUGUUAAAUUAAUUUUUCAUCACAGUUUAAUUGGAUACAUAAUUGUUUACAUGGAGAUGCAGGCAGUACGGAUAAUUUCCGGCCGAGUUACAGUGAACACCGCAAAUUGUUUUUUUUUCAAGACGUCCUAGGGGAAGCUCUGCCACC